GAAAAACCCAAAACCAGGUGGAUACAGAGAAAAACUGAAUAAAAGAUGAGACAUCAUCGCUGUCCAUCUACAGCUGCUGCUUGCUCUCCCGUGGUGCUGCUAUUUCACUCCCGUUGGAGAAGAUAACAGGGUACGUGGAAUCAUCUGA
rnacentral:lncRNA from 1 species